AAUAUUGGGGCAUAUAAAAAAGGCAACUCUGUUCCGCAUAGUAGCUGUUGACAUUAUAGUUGCGCAGGAACUUUGUUGACUCUAGAGAACCUCGGGCAAAUUGCACAUCCCCGUGGCGUCGACUUUGCAUGCAGAUGUCAUCCAUAUCAACUUCCGAUGCCAUUUUCUGCGCCUACCAUGGUGACCAUGGGUAACGGGGAAUCAGGGUUCCAUUCCAUACAGGGACCCUGAGAAAAGGCUACCACAUGCAAGGAAGGCAGCAGGCGCGCAAAUGACCUACUCCCGACGCGGGAGGGUAGUGA